CCCGCACAAGCGGCGAGCAUGCGGAUUAAUUCGAUGCAACGCGAAGAACCUUACCAAGGCUUGACAUACACGAGAACGCCCUAGAAAUAGGGAACUCUUUGGACACUCGUGAACAGGUGGUGCAUGGUUGUCGUCAGCUCGUGUCGUGAGAUGUUGGGUUAAGUCCCGCAACGAGCGCAACCCUCGUUCUAUGUUGCCAGCACGUAAUGGUGGGAACUCAUGGGAUACUGCCGGGGUCAACUCGGAGGAAGGUGGGGAUGACGUCAAAUCAUCAUGCCCCUUAUGUCUUGGGCUUCACGCAUGCUACAAUGGCCGGUACAAAGGGCUGCAAUACCGUAAGGUGGAGCGAAUCCCAAAAAGCCGGUCCCAGUUCGGAUUGAGGUCUGCAACUCGACUCCAUGAAGUUGGAAUCGCUAGUAAUCGCGGAUCAGCAUGCCGCGGUGAAUACGUUCCCGGGCCUU
rnacentral:rRNA from 1 species